CGCUGCCACUGGCAAUGAUUGCCCAGGUGGAGCCAUCCUGCAACCGUAGUUCGAACAUGGUUCGAUCGUGAGGAUAGUGGUUGAAAGUUAUAGAAAAUGUUUAUCACCAUUGAGUGAAACAUUUAAAAUUUAUACAAAAGUGUCUACACAAUUUAUAACAAUAAUGUGAAUACAAAUGAAUAAGUUAAUGGUGCACGUCGUUGCUGUUGUUGAUGCAAAUAUUUGCACUUUACCAUCGAGUUAUAAUGAUGAAUCCUGUGGUCACUCCAUUCAUUUGGCGGAGCUAGGAGGCUUAUGGAAUGUGUUGACGCCACGGAUUUCGAUUCCGAUACCUCCAAACGUACAGUUUGGUAGAAAGCAGAGUUUAAUGGCAUCCAAUUCAGAUAUACGCGCCUUGUAAAACACAAAAAAAACUAUCUAAAAUGGUGAAACGAUUUAAACUUCUCAUUAGGAUUGGCUGGUUUGAUUUUCAGCUCCGCUGUUUCGUUAAAAAUUCCAUGCUUAUUGUAAAAUUGCUUAUUAAUAUGUUCUUCGUGCAUCUAUAGGCGCACUCUUUUGAACCAUUUAUGUUCUAGGCAUUCAGCACUCGGUGCAUUGGUUCAGCGAUCUACACUGUUGCGCUCAACUGUUAUCCUCUCCAAUGCUCUUACAAGAAUGUAAUCCGUUUUGUUCUCUUAUGAGUUUCUCAAGCAUCUAAUCGAGUUUCUUACCACUGUUUCUUACCACCACUUAUCGAUGUUCUUACCACUGUUCACUGUUUCUGGGCUUAUCUAAACUGUUUAUUCAGUCCUUUUUUACGCUCAUUUUACACUCUUUGGGUUAAGUUGGUGGCUUAUGUUUGCGUACAGUUAUUCUAUAUCAUCUGAGAUUCGUCCUCGCAAAUCAAUGUGCAUCACUGAUCCGCUAUUCCGGUUAGGAUAGCGGAUAUGCAAAUAUAAAAAAGCUUUGAAACUGAUUUCUUUGUAGUGAAUUGCUGUGUCUGGCACUAGGUUUACUGGUCGCCAACACAGCUAUUGACCUUCUUCUAAUUUUAUUUUUCAAUUUGAUAUUCGUCGCAUUGUGGCAAAUGGAAGACAUAUGCAAUGGAGUUUGCACUUUUGUUUGCUUUACAUUGUGUGACGUUAUCCUACGUUAUCAUCAUUUUAUUUAAUAACUGAUUAAGCGUAUCCAAGGAUUAUUCUAGCUAUUUUAUAGCCCGGUGGCGGGGGGGCAUUCAUCCCCUUCCUUUUUGGGAGCUGGCUGCAUUCAGCAUUUGUGGCUGCAAUCUCCUGGGAAAAUUAUUACAUUCUCAGUUUUAUUGAGUAUUUGUAACUCUAUCUUCUCGUUUUAUUUAAAAACAACCGCUGUUUCUUUUAAUGAGCGUAUCUGAGGACCAAAUUAUUUGAAUCUAGUUCAUGUUUGAGUCCAUCCGAGCGAGUUAAAAUCUAAACUACCUAAAUUAAAAUAAUUAUGCUCUCCUUGUUCACUUUUUGGUUUGGUAUGGAUUCUUUUGAUGCUGGGGGUCAGUAUAUGCUGCUUUGCGCGAUAAUUGAUAUGCGUCAAUAUGAGCAUACAAAGGAUUGCAUAUUGCAUAGAAAGGAUAUACAUUAAAAGGAUAAAAAGGAUAGUGUACAUGUUUUCAGCCAAAUGUAAUGUCUAAUUUCCAAUUACAAUAGAAAUUUCAAUUGUGAAAAGAAGAACCGUGUUAGUGCGAUCAGAGUAGUACGUCCUGUCUUCAUAAAUCAUUUCGAAUUGUAAAAUAAAAUUUUACGG